rnacentral:rRNA from 1 species
AUUCCCCUAGUAACUGCGAGUGAAGCGGGAAAAGCUCAAAUUUAAAAUCUGGUGGUCUUUGGCCGUCCGAGUUGUAAUUUAGAGAAGCGUCUUCCGCGCUGGACCGUGCACAAGUCUCCUGGAAUGGAGCGUCAUAGAGGGUGAGAAUCCCGUCUUUGGCACGGACACACCAGGGCUUUUGUGAUGCGCUCUCGAAGAGUCGAGUUGUUUGGGAAUGCAGCUCAAAAUGGGUGGUGAACUCCAUCUAAAGCUAAAUAUUGGCGAGAGACCGAUAGCGAACAAGUACCGUGAGGGAAAGAUGAAAAGCACUUUGGAAAGAGAGUGAAACAGUACGUGAAAUUGUUGAAAGGGAAACGCUUGAAGUCAGUCGCGUCGACCGAGACUCAGCCUUGCCUCGGCUUGGUGUACUUCUCGGCUGACGGGUCAGCAUCAAUUUUGCCCCUUGGAUAAUGGUGAGGGAAAUGUGACACCUUUACGGUGUGUUAUAGUCUCUUGUCGCAUGCAAGGGUCGGGAUUGAGGAACUCAGCACGCGCCUUUGGGUGUCGGGGCUUUGCCCACGAUACGUGCUUAGGAUGUUGGCAUAAUGGCUUUAAACGACCCGUCUUGAAACACGGACCAAGGAGUCUAACAUGCCUGCGAGUGUUCGGGUGGAAAACCCGUGCGCGCAAUGAAAGUGAAAGUCGGGACCUCUGUCGUGGAGGGCACCGACGCCCGGACCAGACCUUCUGUGACGGCUCUGCGGUAAAGCAUGUAUGUUAGGACCCGAAAGAUGGUGAACUAUGCCUGAAUAGGGUGAAGCCAGAGGAAACUCUGGUGGAGGCUCGUAGCGAUUCUGACGUGCAAAUCGAUCGUCAAAUUUGGGUAUAGGGGCGAAAGAC